rnacentral:misc_RNA from 1 species
AAGUCGUAACAAGGUUUCCGUAGGUGAGGUUUGCCUGCGGAGUGCCCCAGCAGCGACGGAAAACAAGUGCUCCAGUCGGCCUGAAACGGCCGGCGACGCGUUCAACUCGUCUGGAAUCGCCUUUCGGGGCGUUAUCAGCAGCUCUGCGGAGCUCACAGAUCAAAUGAAUGCGGCCGCUCCCAGCGGUUAAGAUAUGAACGGCCACGCCUGUCACCAGCCGUGCGAUUAGCAUGCGGAACCUGCGGAAGGAUCAUUACUGAGAGGAGCUUCGUGCUCCAGGGGGCUUCGGCCCCCGCCUCUCAACCCUAUGAAAUACAUUCCAUUACCAAGCUUUGUUGCAUUGGCGGGUGCCAACGCCCCCGCCAGCAGCGCACCACAACGCGUUUUUAGUGUAGUCUGAGUGAAAUGAUAAAUAAGCAAAACUUUCAACAACGGAUCUCUUGGUUCUG